rnacentral:rRNA from 1 species
GAUGAACGCUGGCGGCGUGCCUAACACAUGCAAGUCGAGCGAUUUACUUCGGUAAAGAGCGGCGGACGGGUGAGUAACGCGUGGGUAACCUGCCCUGUACACACGGAUAACAUACCGAAAGGUAUGCUAAUACGGGAUAAUAUGCUUUUAUCGCAUGGUAGAAGUAUCAAAGCUUCUGCGGUACAGGAUGGACCCGCGUCUGAUUAGCUAGUUGGUAAGGUAACGGCUUACCAAGGCGACGAUCAGUAGCCGACCUGAGAGGGUGAUCGGCCACAUUGGAACUGAGACACGGUCCAAACUCCUACGGGAGGCAGCAGUGGGGAAUAUUGCACAAUGGGCGAAAGCCUGAUGCAGCAACGCCGCGUGAGCGAUGAAGGCCUUGGGGUCGUAAAGCUCUGUCCUCAAGGAAGAUAAUGACGGUACUUGAGGAGGAAGCCCCGGCUAACUACGUGCCAGCCGCCGCCGUAA